rnacentral:lncRNA from 1 species
CAUCUUUAAGGAGGCAGCAAGCCCUUCCUCUCCCGGGCACAAAUAAGCCCAACCAGCAGACCCUACCUUAACUACCGCUAUUUAAAUUCUGCAAAGUACCGCGGUGACCGGAGGAACCUUCGCAAAGGCGCAAGGGUUUGCCUUAAUUUGGUUAAUACUUGGUUGAGAUGCCUUGCGAGAACUCGAAAGCAGUUGAAUUAAGAAUCUUAAAUCUUUCUAGGACGCGGAGAAGGAAGCUUGGAAAUGUGCGACGCGGCUGUGUGCGAACGCGUGGACUAGGUCUUGGCUCGCUGGGAGGGAAGGGCUGGGCCGGCGCUGGGGAGGAGGAAGGGAGGGAACGGGUAGGAGGAGGGGAAGCGCAGUAUAAAAGUCCCGGCCGGACUGAGCGUCCGCUACUCCGAGUCACUUCGGUAAGGCGGGAGCCCGAGCAAGGUCAAGGAGGGAAGUGCGCGGUGCCACGGACCGACACAGUUCGCUCUAGCAUCUGACGCUCGGACUCCGCGCCCUCAGCCGGAUCCCAGAGCCCUUCCAUUCGCCAACCGCCCACUGCAA